GACGAACGCUGGCGGCGUGCUUAACACAUGCAAGUCGAACGAUGAAGCUGGAGCUUGCUCCGGUGGAUUAGUGGCGAACGGGUGAGUAACACGUGAGCAUUCUGCCCUUGACUCUGGGAUAACUGCAGGAAACUGUAGCUAAUACCGGAUAUGAGGCUCGAAGGCAUCUUCGGGUCUGGAAAGAAUUUCGGUCAAGGAUGAGCUCGCGGCCUAUCAGCUUGUUGGUGAGGUAAUGGCUCACCAAGGCGACGACGGGUACCCGGCCUGAGAGGGUGACUGGCCACACUGGGACUGAGACACGGCCCAGACUCCUACGGGAGGCAGCAGUGGGGAAUAUUGCACAAUGGGCGAAAGCCUGAUGCAGCAACGCCGCGUGAGGGAUGAAGGCCUUCGGGUUGUAAACCUCUUUUAGCAGGGAAGAAGCGAAAGUGACGGUACCUGCAGAAAAAGCACCGGCUAACUACGUGCCAGCAGCCGCCGUAA
rnacentral:rRNA from 1 species